rnacentral:rRNA from 1 species
AUGGGUGCCUCACCAGCUGACAAACGAUUAGAAGAUCAAGCUAAAGUGCCGGACAAAGUAGAUACACUCCGAGCUCAGCGUAGAGCGAGAGGGGAAUGUUUUAAGUGUGGUGAAAAAUAUGGCCCUGGACACAAAUGCCCCAACAAGGUGCAAUUACAUGUGAUGGAAGAAUUGUGGGACGCACUGCAGUCGUCUGAAUCGGUUUCUAGUGAGUCUGACAAUGAACAAGUGGUUUCUCAACCUUCAGAUAAAGACAGUGACGACUGUAUGAAACUGUCAGUGCAAGCAGCUACAGGAACAUCUUCUAAAGAGAGUAUUAAGUUGCAAGGCAUGGUGGGAAAACGUCAGCUACCAAUCUUGGCGGAUUCAGGCAGUUCUACCAACUUCAUUCGAGCUGAUUUGGCGAAAGAACUCAAGUGCACAACUGAAGAAAUCCCUGCAGCAACUGUGACUGUGGCAAAUGGAGGCACUCUGCCCUGCAAUACACAAGUGCCAAAUCUACAGUGGUUUUGUCGGGGAAACACCUUCAAUACAUAG